rnacentral:rRNA from 1 species
GGGGGAUGGGGAAGAAGGAGAAGGGGUCUGCCCCUCUGGGGUGGAGGGGGAAGGCGGAGGGGGAAGACGAAGAGGUAUCGUGCCUCUGGAGGGUAGAGGUGCCUUGUCAUGUGGCGGCGGUGGCGGCGAGCGCGAGCGACUCGCGACGGAAGCGAGGAAACGACGAGUACCAGCACUGGGCCACUCCCGCCGCCGCCAAGGCCCUACCCUUCGCAGCCACCUCUCCUCCUCAAGGGGCGGCCGCACUGCCCCCGCCUGCGCCUCCACCCACGCGAUCAGACCCACGCGGCGGCGUUGCCUAGGACCACCGGGCCAGCCUAGGAACCGGUCCUGCUCAAUGGGCUCUUGACGCACCAAGGUGGCGCGAGACGUCCGUGUGGGUAGUUCGAGGAGCCGGCGGGCCUGCCGUCGUAACUGACCAUAUUAGAGCUCUUUAGAUUCGCGCACUUCCGUAAGGCCACACCACUCAUACUUCUCACAUAUCUUUUUCGCUUUUAAAACCGAGCGGUCGUUUUCUCCUGGAUGUUACUUCCUUUCAUACAAGCGUCCCUCCUACGAUAAUACGUGCGGGAACUUUAUCUUUCUAGAGCGAAAGGUCUGCUUCUACUCUACCUGCUACGAUACACACGUAGACUCUUGUCCAUAAGACGUUUAAGAUCUUUGUAUCCACCUCGGUCGUCUUAUAGAAGAGCGCAUCUUUCCCCAGACAUACUAUAACUUCUUUUGAGUCGAGUUCCAAAUAGACUUCCCAGUUGUAAAAAGUUCCACGGUGUUUUAUAUAGGAGAAGUUCAUGAUCCAUACGAAGUAGAAGUUCCUUCUUUGCCUUCCGUAGUUUGUUUAAACUCCUGCUGUGUCAAUUUCCUAAGGCCGCAUACUCUCUGGAAUAACCUAGUUUGUCCUGGGGGUUUGUCUUCAGUUCACGACCAAGAAAAAGUUUACCCAUAGUACUAAAUGGAAUAGAACUUUCACCCGGUUCGAAACCGAUACUCAACGGAUCGUGUUUACCUUAUUUGUUCUUAUUAGUCAGAGUAAGUAACUGUUUUUCCUUUGCGAGGUUAUAACCAGUUCGAAUACUUUUAAGUUCUUUCUUUCUAUUCGCUGCAGGAAACAGUUUCAAUACAUUUCUAAGUCGUCACUUUCAAGGUUGUAUAACCCUGCGAAGUCCUGUCAGAAGACAGGUCAGGGGACCUGUGUUUGACAGCUUGCACAAGCUUAGUUUAACCCCCCCUAAAAGAAACGGUCCUUUAAAUUUAACAAGAAUGUCGAGCCCGUGAAGUUCACACCUCUGAAGUCGUCUACGGAAUACAUGAUCAGUGUCACCAAGAUGGUUUCGAAGAUUUGAUUUCCUUCGACUUCAGAACCUGCCCUGACCCAAAGAAUCACUACCGACGAGACUACUGCUACUCAAAGAACUACGAGUGGCAUGAUACCUCCUACUACAGUGUCGUCUUCCGGUAAACGUGUGUGUACCUAGCACACGUAGACAUUUCCUACUCUGGAAUUUUCCGUUCUGUGUUUAAUGACUGAUAUCGUCUCUUGUGUAUGGGAAUGAAGCACUAUUAUGUUCAAGGUUCUUCUUUUUGUAUGUCCAUUGAGGUCAUUCGACGUUGUACCUACUUUCAAACUAGCACCUUGUUAUACCUUCCUGUUAUUUUACGUUCCUUGUUCUACUUCUACAAUGACCCAACCUACGUGCUCAGCCUUCAUGAUCACUAGGACCCUCAUCGUACUUUAAACACGACCAAGGAGGUCUACUACCACGACCGUAAUACCCCGUUGUUAUAAUACUUUCGCCUGGGCUCGUACUACUCAGUAAACUUUGAGAUUCGUUGGUAAGUGUGAGACUUUUCCAACCCCGUCGUAGGGGUAUAAUACCCAGUGGCGAAUUUCAUUAUGACGGACUCGUCUUUGGACUAUACUUUAGAUGUUCUACGGUACACCAUUUCGGUUACUUCUCACAUGUUCGUCUGAUAUUUGAAAUACUACAACUCAACCGUCAGCUUCCUUGGAUGUUCCCGGUGGCACGUGGAGAACAAAGAGACUGUUCAUUUACCUUGGCAUUUGGACAAUACCCCAAAGGACAUGGACAACAACAAAACCUACUAUCAACAGGACACCUUUCAUCUCUAUUAGUGGUAGACCGUUUCUUGUCAGGAUGGGUGAACGAUUUCUCCUCGCUUCAACGUCUUGGCGCGGUCGGUUCUAGCAGUGUAAGUAGAUUUAGUUUUGAACCACCGGCAUUUUUCCAGAGCCUCGUACUAUACCUAUUCAGGACCGCCGGUGUAUGGUUCUUUAGUCGUAGAAGUGGUUCCUUUUACGCGUCCGAGAGUAGAAAACCGUCGUCGGCGUCUCUUUCGUGUUUCUCUUUAUGACAUCAAGCCUUUUAACCGCCCGGUUGAUAGCGCACGUAGGGCCAAGCUGAACAAAAGUCAUCCUAGUUACUUCGUAAUUCGAAAGUUCACUCUAGUCUUUUGUGAUCGACUCCACGAGACGGUCCUGAAGCUUAAUUUCUCUCGGAGGCUAGUAUGUUAAAGAUCGAAAAGUACAUGUAAUCAGUGGUAUUAAAAAAUUUCGAACUAUGGACCGUACAAAUAUACUGAUAAUACACGAACAUUAGGUAUUCACGUCAUCCGUUAACAAUGAAUGGGUGGCACUCACAACCCACUCUAAAGGUACCACCUUCCUUUAUUCGUCGUAGUCAUUAAAACGCGACUACCACAAUUCCUCCCUUCCUUUAUCAUAAAGAGAAGCGAC